rnacentral:rRNA from 1 species
ACGCACGCUGGCGGCGUGCUUAACACAUGCAAGUCGCGCGGAAAGGCCCUUCGGGGUCCUCGCGCGGCGAACGGGUGAGUAACACGUGAGUAACCUGCCCCAGACUUUGGGAUAACCCUCGGAAACGGGGGCUAAUACCGGAUACGACACAGCUUCGCAUGGGGUCUGUGUGGAAAGUUUUUCGGUUUGGGAUGGGCUCGCGGCCUAUCAGCUUGUUGGUGGGGUGAUGGCCUACCAAGGCGACGACGGGUAGCCGGCCUGAGAGGGCGACCGGCCACACUGGGACUGAGACACGGCCCAGACUCCUACGGGAGGCAGCAGUGGGGAAUAUUGCACAAUGGGCGGAAGCCUGAUGCAGCGACGCCGCGUGAGGGAUGACGGCCUUCGGGUUGUAAACCUCUUUCAGCAGGGACGAAGCGUAAGUGACGGUACCUGCAGAAGAAGCGCCGGCCAACUACGUG